rnacentral:misc_RNA from 1 species
GAAAUGCGAUAAGUAGUGUGAAUUGCAGAAUUCAGUGAAUAAUCGAAUCUUUGAACGCGCAUUGCGCCCCUUGGUAUUCCAUGGGGCAUGCCAGUUCGAGCGUCAUUUGUACCCUCAAGCUUUGCUUGGUGUUGGGCGUCUUGUCCUCUUCUGGAGGACUCGCCUCAAAACAAUUGGCAGCCGGCAUAUUGGUAUCGGAGGGCAGCACACGUCGCACUUUGUACCAUGAAUGUUGGCAUCCAUCAAGACCAUUCUUUCACUCUUGACCUCGGAUCAGGUAGGGAUACCCGCUGAACUUAU